GCGGCGUGCUUCAUACAUGCAAGUCGAACGAGAAGCAGGAGCUUGCUCCUGUGGAAAGUGGCGGACGGGUGAGUAACACGUAGGAAAUCUGCCUUUGGGUGGGGGACAACAGUUGGAAACGACUGCUAAUACCCCAUAUGAGCUUGGUUGCAAUACCAAUCUUGAAAACUCCGGUGCCUAAAGAUGAGCCUGCGUCUGAUUAGCUUGUUGGCGGGGUAAUGGCCCACCAAGGCGACGAUCAGUAGCUGGUUUGAGAGGAUGAUCAGCCACAAUGGGACUGAGACACGGCCCAUACUCCUACGGGAGGCAGCAGUAGGGAACUUUGCGCAAUGGGGGAAACCCUGACGCAGCAACGCCGCGUGAAUGACGAAGCCCUUCGGGGUGUAAAGUUCUGUCAGUAGGGAAGAAUUCUGACUGUACCUACAAAGGAAGCACCGGCUAACUCCGUGCCAGCCGCCGCCGUAA
rnacentral:rRNA from 1 species